ensembl:snRNA U6 U6 spliceosomal RNA
GUACUCACUUCGGCAGCACAUAUACUACAAUUGGAAUGAUUAGCACGAUUAGAGAUUAGCAUGGCCCCUGUGCAAGGAUGACAUGAAAAUUCAUGAAACGUUCCACAUUAAA